rnacentral:rRNA from 1 species
UACGUAGGGGGCGAGCGUUGUCCGGAUUUAUUGGGCGUAAAGAGCGUGUAGGCGGUUCGGUAAGUCUGUCGUGAAAUCCUGAGGCUCAACCUCGGGCCUGCAGUGGGUACGGGCAGACUAGAGUGUGGUAGGGGAGACUGGAAUUCCUGGUGUAGCGGUGGAAUGCGCAGAUAUCAGGAGGAACACCGAUGGCGAAGGCAGCUCGCUGGGACGGUACUGACGCUGAGACGCGAAAGCGUGGGGAGCAAACAGG